AAACAUGAUUGGCUUUGACCACUCUCAUUCCAAAUGUUCUAGCGUAGCCCCUGACUCAAGGGCUCACCAAAUGGGUUUUUGAUUUCUGACGUGAUAGAAUCUGAAUCAGGAGGAAGAAGAAAGCUAGUAGCUCAACGUAAAAGCUAAAAUGAAUCCCUCCUCAACAAUGGCAGCGGAGACAACGAUGAACACCAGAAAAUGUUGAUGAACUCGUGGAGGGCCUGAGCUGAAAAUGAAAGCCGGUGUAGCUUCAACCAACAAUCAAAAAUCAAAGAAGAAGAAACAAAAGAAAA